CCUACGGGUGGCAGCAGUGGGGAAUAUUGGACAAUGGGCGAAAGCCUGAUCCAGCCAUGCCGCGUGUGUGAAGAAGGCCUUCGGGUUGUAAAGCACUUUCAGUGGGGAAGAAAGCCUUGGGGCUAAUACCCUCGAGGAAGGACAUCACCCACAGAAGAAACACCGGCUAACUCCGUGCCAGCAGCCGCGGUAAUACGGAGGGUGCGAGCGUUAAUCGGAAUUACUGGGCGUAAAGCGCGCGUAGGCGGUCUGAUAAGCCGGUUGUGAAAGCCCCGGGCUCAACCUGGGAACGGCAUCCGGAACUGUCAGGCUAGAGGGCAGGAGAGGAAGGUAGAAUUCCCGGUGUAGCGGUGAAAUGCGUAGAGAUCGGGAGGAAUACCAGUGGCGAAGGCGGCCUUCUGGACUGACACUGACGCUGAGGUGCGAAAGCGUGGGUAGCAAACAGGAUUAGAUACCCCAGUAGUC
rnacentral:rRNA from 1 species